rnacentral:rRNA from 1 species
GACGAACGCUGUCGGCGUGCUUAACACAUGCAAGUCGAACGGAAAGGCCCUGCUUUUGUGGGGUGCUCGAGUGGCGAACGGGUGAGUAACACGUGAGUAACCUGCCCUUGACUUUGGGAUAACUUCAGGAAACUGGGGCUAAUACCGGAUAGGAGCUCCUGCUGCAUGGUGGGGGUUGGAAAGUUUCGGCGGUUGGGGAUGGACUCGCGGCUUAUCAGCUUGUUGGUGGGGUAGUGGCUUACCAAGGCUUUGACGGGUAGCCGGCCUGAGAGGGUGACCGGCCACAUUGGGACUGAGAUACGGCCCAGACUCCUACGGGAGGCAGCAGUGGGGAAUAUUGCACAAUGGGCGGAAGCCUGAUGCAGCGACGCCGCGUGCGGGAUGACGGCCUUCGGGUUGUAAACCGCUUUCGCCUGUGACGAAGCGUGAGUGACGGUAAUGGGUAAAGAAGCACCGGCUAACUACGUGCCAGCAGCCGCGGUGAUACGUAGGGUGCGAGCGUUGUCCGGAUUUAUUGGGCGUAAAGGGCUCGUAAGUGGUUAAUCGCGUCGGAAGUGUAAUCUUGGGGCUUAACCCUGAGCGUGCUUUCGAUACGGGUUGACUUGAGGAAGGUAGGGGAGAAUGGAAUUCCUGGUGGAGCGGUGGAAUGCGCAGAUAUCAGGAGGAACACCAGUGGCGAAGGCGGUUCUCUGGGCCUUUCCUGACGCUGAGGAGCGAAAGCGUGGGGAGCGAACAGGCUUAGAUACCCUGGUAGUCCACGCUGUAAACGGUGGGUACUAGGUGUGGGGUCCAUUCCACGGGUUCCGUGCCGUAGCUAACGCUUUAAGUACCCCGCCUGGGGAGUACGGCCGCAAGGCUAAAACUCAAAGGAAUUGACGGGGCCCCGCACAAGCGGCGGAGCAUGCGGAUUAAUUCGAUGCAACGCGUAGAACCUUACCUGGGUUUGACAUGGAUCGGGAGUGCUCAGAGAUGGGUGUGCCUCUUUUGGGGUCGGUUCACAGGUGGUGCAUGCCUGUCGUCAGCUCGUGUCGUGAGAUGUUGGGUUAAGUCCCGCAACGAGCGCAACCCUUGUUCACUGUUGCCAGCACGUUAUGGUGGGGACUCAGUGGAGACCGCCGGGGUCAACUCGGGGGAAGGUGGGGAUGACGUCAAGUCAUCAUGCCCCUUAUGUCCAGGGCUUCACGCAUGCUACAAUGGCUGGUACAGAGAGUGGCGAGCCUGUGAGGGUGAGCGAAUCUCGGAAAGCCGGUCUCAGUUCGGAUUGGGGUCUGCAACUCGACCUCAUGAAGUCGGAGUCGCUAGUAAUCGCAGAUCAGCAACGCUGCGGUGAAUACGUUCCCGGG